GAGGCGAACCGGGGGAACUGAAACAUCUAAGUACCCCGAGGAAAAGAAAUCAACCGAGAUUCCGAAAGUAGCGGCGAGCGAAAUUGGACUAGCCCUUAAGCUUUACACGCGUUAGACGAACGGUCUGGAAAGUCCGACGAUACAGGGUGAUAGUCCCGUAGUUGACGACGUGUGUUCAGUGAAAUCGAGUAGGGCGGGACACGUGAUAUCCUGUCUGAAUAUGGGGGGACCAUCCUCCAAGGCUAAAUACU
rnacentral:rRNA from 1 species